CUCAUGAACAACAACUACUACCGCCUGCUCGCGGCCAAGCCCUCAAAGUUCAUCAACUGCGCAGACAAGGCGGACGGCAUGCCGUGGAUCGCAGUGGGCGGCCUCAAUAAGACGCUGGCCCAGACGGGAUGGUGGCUCCGGCGCCUGAAGGAGACCACUAGCGGCGGCUCCUUCCUCUGGUUUCACUACUACCAGCGCUGCCCUUCUUGCCAGAAGCAGGAGGACGGAACGUGGAGGAGCUGGGAGGAGCGCGGUGGUAGUAAGUUCCAGUCUGACGAGUGCUGCAAGUGCAACGACCAGGAUGGGACCGAGGCCGACUUUGACCCCGAGUGCUUCAUAAACGUCACGCGGGACG
rnacentral:rRNA from 1 species